rnacentral:rRNA from 1 species
UACGUAGGGUGCAAGCGUUAUCCGGAAUGAUUGGGCGUAAAGCGUCCGCAGGUGGCUAUGUAAGUCUGCUGUUAAAGAGUGAGGCUCAACCUCAUAAGAGCAGUGGAAACUACAUAGCUAGAGUGCGUUCGGGGCAGAGGGAAUUCCUGGUGUAGCGGUGAAAUGCGUAGAUAUCAGGAAGAACACCGGUGGCGAAAGCGCUCUGCUAGGCCGCAACUGACACUGAGGGACGAAAGCUAGGGGAGCGAAUGGG